UACGUAGGUGGCAAGCGUUGUCCGGAUUUACUGGGCGUAAAGCGCGCGCAGGCGGGCUGGUCAGUCUGGGGUGAAAUCUCACGGCUCAACCGUGGGAGGUCCCUGGAUACUGCUAGCCUUGAGGGGCUCAGAGGAGAGUGGAAUUCCGGGUGUAGUGGUGGAAUGCGUAGAUAUCCGGAGGAACACCAGUGGCGAAAGCGGCGCUCUGGGGGCAACCUGACGCUGAGGCACGAAAGCGUGGGGAGCAAACAGG
rnacentral:rRNA from 1 species